CCAGACUCCUACGGGAGGCAGCAGUGGGGAAUAUUGCACAAUGGGGGAAACCCUGAUGCAGCGACGCCGCGUGAGGGAAGACGGUUUUCGGAUUGUAAACCUCUGUCUUUAGGGACGAAACAAAUGACGGUACCUAAAGAGGAAGCCACGGCUAACUACGUGCCAGCAGCCGCGGUAAUACGUAGGUGGCGAGCGUUAUCCGGAUUUACUGGGUGUAAAGGGAGCGUAGACGGAGAGGCAAGUCUGAUGUGAAAACCCGGGGCUCAACCCCGGGACUGCAUUGGAAACUGUUUUUCUAGAGUGUCGGAGAGGCAAGUGGAAUUCCUAGUGUAGCGGUGAAAUGCGUAGAUAUUAGGAGGAACACCAGUGGCGAAGGCGGCUUGCUGGACGAUGACUGACGUUGAGGCUCGAAAGCGUGGGGAGCAAACAGGAUUAGAUACCCGAGUAAU
rnacentral:rRNA from 1 species